GAGCUAGUCUAGGUGCACCAGUCACAGGACACUGAGACUCAGGGUGGCAGAUGUCAAGUCCUUCAUUGUUCAGUUUAAGCUCAGAGAAGACUCACAUCCUUGGAUCCCAGACUCUUUGAUGACAGGAAGGCCAAACUAUCUCAAAUGGUUUUCAUGAAGAACUUACAGUGAGCCUACACGGAGUUGUCCAUACACAGAAGAACUGAGACCCCCCAGCCCCUGCCACUAGUGACAGCUCUCAUUAACCUCCUGACAUGCUGGCAAAUGAGCAUUCAGGGCUCCAGGGAGCGACAUCCAGCCAGCGGCUUGUUUUCGUAAAUAAAGUUUUAUUGGCACAUAUUAUGUUCAUUCAUUUACAUAUG